rnacentral:tRNA from 1 species
GGGCGUUUAGCUCAGUGGUAGAGCGUCCGUUUUGCAUACGGAAGGUCGAGGGUUCGAACCCCUCAGUGUCCA